rnacentral:misc_RNA from 1 species
AACGCACAUUGCGCCCCCCGGCAUUCCGGGGGGCAUGUCCGACCGAGCGCCGCCGCGCAGCUCAGGAGACCGUCAAAAGUCGCCUGGUGUUGGGGCCUGCGACGAGUGUUCCAACUCCCACGCAGCUCCGAAAUGCAGCGGCGGCCGCUGUAGGCAUCUCCCACGCGCAGUACAAAGGGCCGUCACGCCCCUGCCUGGAACGAGAGCCUACCGGUGGCCCGCCCAACGCUGGCGGUGCGACGCGGUGCCCUCGCGGCGCCGUGCCCACCCCGAACUUUCCAACUACGUUGGCCUCGGGUCGGACAAGGCUACCCGCUGAACUUAA